rnacentral:rRNA from 1 species
GAGUUUGAUCCUGGCUCAGGAUGAACGCUGGCGGCGUGCUUAACACAUGCAAGUCGAACGAAGCACUCUUUUAGAUUUCCUUCGGGGAAGAAGAAAUUGUGACUGAGUGGCGGACGGGUGAGUAACGCGUGGGCAACCUGCCCCAUACAGGGGGAUAACAGCCGGAAACGGCUGCUAAAACCGCAUAAGCGCACAAGGGCCGCAUGGCCUGGUGUGAAAAACUCCGGUGGUAUGGGAUGGGCCCGCGUCUGAUUAGCUAGUUGGCGGGGGAGAGGCCCACCAAGGCGACGAUCAGUAGCCGACCUGAGAGGGUGGCCGGCCACAUUGGGACUGAGACACGGCCCAAACUCCUACGGGAGGCAGCAGUGGGGAAUAUUGCACAAUGGGGGAAACCCUGAUGCAGCGACGCCGCGUGAGCGAAGAAGUAUUUCGGUAUGUAAAGCUCUAUCAGCAGGGAAGAAAAAUGACGGUACCUGAGUAAGAAGCACCGGCUAAAUACGUGCCAGCAGCCGCGGUAAUACGUAUGGUGCAAGCGUUAUCCGGAUUUACUGGGUGUAAAGGGAGCGCAGGCGGUGCGGCAAGUCUGAUGUGAA